rnacentral:lncRNA from 1 species
UAGUAGAUCCCCUAUGCCGGAGCAUGAACAGAGAAAGCAGCCGUCUAGUCUAGUCCUUGUCCCGGUAGUAUGAAGUUUGAAUGGUCCAUCGUGGAGCUCGACCUUGUUGAGUAGUAGCUUUCAAGCCUCCCUGAAAAGUGGAAAGCGAUAGCAAAUACCUCAUAGGAUCUCUUUAAACGGGGUGCUUUUCCUUAGCGGCCUUUUUCUUUCACGUUUUGCCUUAGUCACAAUAGUUGUCAUGAACCCAGUAGGAAUCCCAUAUCUAUAUGAGCAGAGCAUAGAGUCUUUUAACUUUUUUCUAAUUGGCGCAGAGCGUUGGCCUAAGCUUACUCCAUAAAAUCACUAUUUGCUAUCGCUUGCUUUGGCUAUAGGGGGGCAGGCUGCCAUCAUGGUUAGUUUGACUUAACUAGUUCAUUGCGAGUACAUUCUUUAUAUACAUAUGAUACAACCAUAUCUAAAUGGAACUUUUGUCACUAUGCUCUGCUCUAUAGGGAGAAUCCACUUAUUACUUACUUGUUUUUAGACUACUUCCCUGUAGUCUUGACUCGCAUAUAGACAGUGAACUUGUCCUAUCAACGACAAGUGGAAUGCAAUCAUGGCUUCUUUUUCAUGCAGUGAUUGAAUGAGGGAAAUGCAGUGAAAUGAAUGCCCGGAUGCCUGGACGAGGGAGAGCUUUUAGCUCGAAUGAGGAAGAGCGGCUUGGUUGGAUAGGGCUAGGGUUAGUGACACGGGAUAGGACAGAUGCGUAACGUUGAGGCUAACAAGUCUAGAUAGAAAGAAGUAUGGAACAGACCAUUGAAGGAGAACGCUAGGACCGAUAUAUCCGUAUUUCAUAGAGCUAGAUAGGCGAGCGAAACAAGUAGUAGUUUUGAGUUCAAAAUAGAAGAUAAGCGUUUAGUCAAGAUACGUUUAUUUAAAGGAUAGGCAUGGGAAUAGCUGAUAGACAUUUGUGCAAGGGCAACAAGUAGUAGUUGGAUAUGAACCACCCACGGAUAGCCAGGAAUAGAACUAGCAAGGUAGCUUGACAUGGUUUGUUAAGAAGUACCCUGCGUAGCUUUAGUAGGUGUUUGAGUAGGCCGCUAAGGAGCGAAGCGUUGUUCUAAACACCAAUGGGAUGAGAUGGUUCCAAUACAAGCUCUUCGAUCUCUGUCUGCAGGAAGGUGACUCCCAUACCUUCUUUUUCCACCAGUAGAAAUCCGAGGGAUCCUGCGGAGAAAUCUUAGUAUCACAGGAGAGUGGAUCGUAUAUCACGAUUCGUAAGCCUCUGAAAGGCUUCAGCUGUCAGUCGAUCGUCUGGGACACAGAUUCGCUCUACGAACUGGAAUGUACCAGCAGAGCCUUAUUGCCCCCUGAGCCCAACGAACCUCCUCAAUAGCAGAUAAGGGCUCGGUAGAUCAAUAUCUGCAUGAAUAGCCGCUGCAUAAACAACUCUAGCUCUAACUCAAGAAAAGAACUAGAAAGAACAAAAGAAGAGUUUCUCCUCUGCAAAGUAACAGCAAGUGAAAUUAGCUCCCUGUCGGGAUAGAGAUUCUCUAUUAUCUUGAACUCACUCACCAAUACUUUAAGAUCGUCAAUAGCACACUACCUCUCCAAGGCAGUGCACUAUUUCCUCAACAAAAGAGAAGAAGUAAACGAUUGCCAGGUUGUAAGCACUUUGAGAUAUUGGCCUUCGGCUUAAGAUAGUUACUUGACUUAAAAGCAUUCUCGAGAUCCUUAUCAUUUAAGGAACAAGAAGAGAUUGUCUACUCUCGGCAAUGUAAGAAGGUUCGUGAAAUAGCACCCUGUCGGGGAUCAAGAUUCUCUAUUAUCCCAUCCACAUUCCCACUCUCCUUAUUCAUACAUCAGUUCAGCUACAACAAAGAAGAUAUCCUUCCCAUUUGUCUUGUCAGUCUUUCAUUUCUUUGGUUUAGUUAGGAAUAGGCAUGAACUAGGCUAGCAGUUGUCACCAAAGCAAGGGACUAGCUUUUUCUCCAAGGGGUCAUAUCAACUUGACUUGUAUCCGGUAGAAGCUUUCUCUUUGGAUUGAGAUUCCAGAAGUUCCGGGAAAAGAGAUUCAAGCACAGAAUCCACCAGGAAAAAGAUAUUCCUGCAGAGCAGCUGUGGGCCAAGAGUCAAAGAAUGAAUUUGGCCUAGACCUAGCGUCAAAGUAAAGAAUUGAAGCGGAAGCCGACUUGGACUUAAACUUAGUUGAGAGUGGUCUCUUUUUUAAUCUCGUAUGUAUCUCCUGCAGGGAUCGGGCUAGUUGCAUUACUCGAAAAGGAAGCAUAAUCGGAAGAACCUGUCGUGUAGUGCCUGCGUCUAUUGUCCUCUGGCAGGUGAAGUGGUUGCAUUCGCCGGGCUUAGGCCAAUCUCCAGAUCCGAGUAGAGAGUGGAAUUAUUUCUUUUCUUCCCAAGACUUCAUCAUUCAAUAUGCGGGCCGGGUUGGAUAACCAAAUCAUUUCUAUCAAGUGGAUUCCCUUAUCUAUAUAGGCAUCCAGUAGCCAAGUCUGUUUUCCGAUACGCCAGACCAGCUUCCUGAGUAGAAUACGAAAGAAAGGCCAUUCCCUGGAUCCUCUAGCAUCACUAGCUGUAAGCACUUUCAAGUACGGCACUAUUUCUUGCUUGCAUUGAUCAAGUUCAAGACCAAUCGGAUGUAAGGAGGCUAAAAGCGGCCUCAUUCGGUGAUACGUGAAUGUCAAUCACUUGAAAGCACCUAUCUCAUCCCAGCACGGGAAGAUAUCUCUAAGCAAUUGAACUAGAUCUCAGUACCGUCUCUCCACCUAGGCGGCAAUAUCCUCAAAGCGAAAUUCUUUCUAUUGGUAUAUACCUACACAUACACACACACAUUCUAUGCUAUGCCUAUGCUAUGGACAAAACAAAUCGUGAAGCAUAUUUUGAACUUGAACUAAAGCUCGAGGCAGAACCAUCGUGGUAUCCAUAACCACCUCCAGCUAUCCAGAUCCAUUCCAUAUUAGAGGGACUUUGAAGGCUUAUUCCGUUAGUGAGCUUGUGAAGGCAAGGCGUUUAGGCGUCGGUUUCUUACGAGAUAAGAUAUGUAUGCCGGUCCAACUAAAGCAAGGGUGGUUUUGAGCUUGGGUUGAAAGCUAGGUAGGGCUUUUAUGCUUGAAGUGCGGUGCCAAGAGUGGAAUAUCAAGUUCUGCUAGCAAAGAAAGAAUCGAAUGUUGGACUGGACUAUAGUAGGUCUAUUAGACUAUUCUUACUAGAGGGUCCCCUAAAACUGGCAUAACCGUCAAGGUGCCUGGCAAGUCAGAAGUCGCAGGAUUGCAUUAUAAAGGGCUAAAGCGAGUUCACGUCAUAGUAGAGCAAAUUCUUGCCAUAAGGUAUAUAUACAUACAUCAGCAUGGCCACCGUAGUAGCCAGCCCGAAUGAAGCUGUCUGCGUUAACGCUUGGUAUAUAGAUGCGCGCCUGCUCAUCAUAAUAGUGCGCUCUGAAGAUAGUCAUUGCCAAAGACGAGAUCGUUAGCACACGCGUGAUAUUUAUCCUUAUCCCGUAGCAUAGCAUAGUUGGCUAUCUCUAUUUCUUGAGCCUUCUGCAGGACAGCGCCUAAUAUCAGGAUAUCCUGGUCUAGGUAGGCGGCUAAAUACUCUUUUCUUCGCUCGGCUAUCAAUUAGAGGCGAGGGUCACACCUUUGUGGUCAAUCGUUCCCUUUCCUCAACCUAUUCAAAAAGACCUAUCUCUGUGCUGCAUGCUUAGAGCUAAAGGUAUUGGACCCAAGGAGUAAGUGACCAAGUAGGUUUUUGGUAGUAAAAGAUUGGAGGAAGAGGCCGCCUAAAUCAGAUCACAGGAUUGACUAGAUCUUUCCGUUUCCGUUUGAGGAAUGGCCAAAGCUCCAUCCAUAGAGAGGACAAGCAUCAUCCAAUGGGUGUCUUCUCACUAGUGCCAGAGCGUGGAAGGAUCGCCCCUUGGCCGGGACAGGGACACAUCCUGAUGUGAGAGACCGACCCUAGCCUAGGUAGUAUUAGCAUACAUAGAACCAGAGAAUCGAGUUGUCUUGUCACAGGAAACCGGAGAGCAGGAAACAGAACGGACCUUGUAAGAAACCUCCCAUCACCACACCAAGGAGAACGAAGCUAAGAAAAAGGAACCCUUCUUGGAUUGUCUUGUCUAUGAAACCCAUCCUUACCAGCUAGGAAUCUGUCUUUUCACCAGAAACCUUGCUUGUCUUAGUCAUGAGUGUGUGUAUCCCAUCCCAUGUAUUUGCUUCUCCUGAUGUAGAAUCGCGAUCUGGAUAGGCUCUAUUCUCACCUGCACCAGAAAGAAUAGUUGUCUGUCUAGUCUAGAGCCGCAAACUGCUUGCCCUCCCUUCUCCCGCUUUCUAUAAUAGUCAAAGUAAGUGGUAGUUCUCGGUUCCUUCCUGGGCUUGUAGAAGUAGAAGUGAGUAUACCAUCUCAAUAUCGCCAUCUCAAUCUCAAUAGAAGGUUGACUGCUUGAUAUGUCAGCUGGUCUAAGUCUUCUCAUCUCAGUUAGGAAAGGAAGUAGUCUCAUCUCAGUUAGCGAUGUGAAGCGGACCGCUCUCUCGCGAGCUCCCCUACGGGAUUUAGAGGCGCGUGGAAUAGUGCCGUUUAAAAGUAUGAUUCCAUUCCAAGAAAGAGAUCCGUCACAACACUGGCAUUUCCCUCCUCCUCUUCUUUAGCACUGGCCAGGUUCCAUACGGAUGUACGUACCCUUCCGUUCAGAAAAGACAGUGGCAUUCCCAUUGGCGCAUAGAGAAAUGCUGUUCUUCUUCCAGUAAUGAAUGGAAAGCAUUUCAGGUGUGCUAUGCCAAGAUGAUCCGAACAGGCUGAGGAUGGGGAUACAAUUGCGCCAUGUUUUCCAUUCAUUAAGAAAGGACGGUCGUAUCCCGGUGACCUUGCCAGCUGCAGUGGGGUCUCCUGGUAUGAAAGACGCACUUCGUUGCAUUGCUCGCAGACUGGAAUGCAAACCCGCAAGUUAGCUCCGUAAAUAAUUGGCGAGAGGAAAACAAACUUUCUAUAAAAUGGAUCCUAAGGAAAGUAAACGUCAUUUUCGGGAACUAGUUGCACUCUGUCCCCUAUCCUACCGCUAGUAGAUCCCCUAUGCCGGAGCAUGAACAGAGAAAGCAGCCGUCUAGUCUAGUCCUUGUCCCGGUAGUAUGAAGUUUGAAUGGUCCAUCGUGGAGCUCGACCUUGUUGAGUAGUAGCUUUCAAGCCUCCCCGGAAAGUGGAAAGCGAUAGCAAAGACCUCAUAGGAUCUCUUUAAACGGGGUGCUUUUCCUUAGCGGCCUUUUUCUUUCACGUUUUGCCUUAGUCACAAUAGUUGUCAUGAACCCCAGUAGGAAUCCCAUAUCUAUAUGAGCAGAGCAUAGAGUCUUUUCACUUUUUUCUAAUUGGCGCGGAGCGAAGCUUACUCCAUAAAAUCACUAUUUGCUAUCGCUUGCUUUGGCUAUAGGGGGGCAGGCUGCCAUCAUGGUUGGUUGGACUUAGCCAGUUCAUUGCGAGUACAUUCUUUAUAUACAUAUGAUACAACCAUAUCUAAAUGGAACUUUUGUCACUAUGCUCUGCUCUAUAGGGAGAAUCCACUUAUUACUUACUUGUUUUUAGACUACUUCCCUGUAGUCUUUACUCGCAUAUAGUCAGUGAACUUGUCCUAUCAACGACAAGUGGAAUGCAAUCAUGGCUUCUUUUUCAUGCAGUGAUUGAAUGAGGGAAAUGCAGUGAAAUGAAUGCCCGGAUGCCUGGACGAGGGAGAGCUUUUAGCUCGAAUGAGGAAGAGCGGCUUGGUUGGAUAGGGCUAGGGUUAGUGACACGGGAUAGGAUGGAUGCGUAACGUUGAGGCUAACAAAUCUAGAUAGAAAGAAGUAUGGAACAGACCAUUGAAGGAGAACGCUAGGACCGGUAUAUCCGUAUUUCAUAGAGCUAGAUAGGCGAGCGAA